rfam:Ipomoea nil DNA, scaffold: scaffold1101, cultivar: Tokyo-kokei standard.
GGCUUAUUAGCUCAGUUGGUUAGAGCGUCGUGCUAAUAACGCGAAGGUCACAGGUUCGAAACUUGUAUGGGCCA